rnacentral:rRNA from 1 species
UACGUAGGGUGCAAGCAUUGUCCGGAAUUAUUGGGCGUAAAGAGCUCGUAGGCGGUCUGUUGCGUCGGCUGUGAAAACCCGGGGCUCAACCCCGGGCCUGCAGCCGAUACGGGCAGACUAGAGUUCGGCAGGGGAGACUGGAAUUCCUGGUGUAGCGGUGAAAUGCGCAGAUAUCAGGAGGAACACCGGUGGCGAAGGCGGGUCUCUGGGCCGAUACUGACGCUGAGGAGCGAAAGCGUGGGGAGCGAACAGG